rnacentral:rRNA from 1 species
CUUCCCAUGUUUUGACAUCUUUUGAAAUUCCUAAAGAUUGGAUUUUUCCCUUUGGGGGAAAAAGUUAAAGGUUGUGCAUGGUUGUUGUUCGCUUGUGUUGUGAAAUUUUGGGUUAAGUUCCGCAAAGAGCGCAACCCUUGAUUUUUGUUGCCCACCUUCAGUUGGGCACUUUAAAGUGACUGCCGGUGACAAACCGGAGGAAGGUGGGGAUGACGUCAAAUUAUUAAGCCCCUUAUGACCUGGGCUACACACGUGCUACAAUGGGUGGUACAAAAGGCUGCCAAACCGCGACGCUAGAGCCAAUC